GGCGCUAUGGCUUAGUUGGUUAAAGCGCCUGUCUAGUAAACAGGAGAUCCUGGGUUCGAAUCUCAGUGGUGCCU
rnacentral:tRNA from 1 species